GUAAAUAUAGUUUAAUAAAAAUACUAGAUUGUGAUUCUAGAGAUGAAGGCUAGCAUCCUUCUAUUCACC
rnacentral:tRNA from 1 species